rnacentral:rRNA from 1 species
AGAAGUGGGGAUGACGUCAAAUCAUCAUGCCCCUUAUGUCUUGGGCUUCACGCAUGCUACAAUGGCCGGUACAAAGGGCUGCGAUACCGCGAGGUGGAGCGAAUCCCAGAAAGCCGGUCUCAGUUCGGAUUGGGGUCUGCAACUCGACCCCAUGAAGUCGGAGUCGCUAGUAAUCGCAGAUCAGCAACGCUGCGGUGAAUACGUUCCCGGGCCUU